AGUGACCGACGCUUUAUUGGACUGUUUGUCAGAGAAUGGGGCCGGGUGGUCCCAGUGCAGAGAAUGAAGUCAGUGAGAAGAGACCGAAGGGCCGUUUAAGCCAGAGAAGAGAAAGCUGGUGGAGGGCGGGGCCACGGCUACUCUGGUGACAGCCCUCACGUGUGUCCACCGGGUGGGCUAGAACGUGUGUCAGCUGCUGCCAUCUCCACCCAAGCUCAGAGCCAGAGGAAAUGGGUGUGAGUGGAGCCCGAACUUACUCACAAGGCCGAAUUUCCUGACGGCAAGGAUGCUCCUGCUCUGGUGGCUUCAUCUCCCUGGGGAACUGGCCUCCAGCCCUGGCAUGUUUGUUUCCCUCCGCCGGGUGUGCCAUCACGGUCACUGUCUGUCGCAUCCAGUCGGAGCUGCGUCUCUUUCGUUGGGGUGAGACGCUCCUGAAGACACAGUGAAGUACCCCUGGUUUUCACAGGGUGGGACCAACGUGGAGAAGAUUCUGAGAUGAGGGUG